rnacentral:lncRNA from 1 species
UACAUCAUGCAUGACUGCUCUCUCCUCAGUUCCAAGAGAAGGAAAGUCCUUCUCAAAGGUAGCCUUUUGAGCAGUAUUACCCAUAACAACACCAGAUAUCAAGCCAUUUCCAUUUACAUGACUGCUGCUACUUCCAUUUCUCAGGUCUGAUGCAACCCUACGGGGUAAGACCUCGCUAUGUUUCCUGGAUAUCAUUGAGUGAGAACGCCUUAAUGUGUCCUUAUCAGUUCUACCCAUUAACAUGCUUCCCAAAGGAUCAGAAGAGUCACGAUCCCAAUGGUCCGUAAAGCUCGGCUUAUCUUUGUCCCUAUCUCUAUCUUUGUCGCGAU